rnacentral:rRNA from 1 species
UACGUAGGUGGCGAGCGUUAUCCGGAAUUAUUGGGCGUAAAGCGCGCGCAGGCGGUUCCUUUAGUCUGAUGUGAAAGCCCACGGCUCAACCGUGGAGGGUCAUUGGAAACUGGGGAACUUGAGUGCAGAAGAGAAGAGCGGAAUUCCACGUGUAGCGGUGAAAUGCGUAGAGAUGUGGAGGAACACCAGUGGCGAAGGCGGCUCUUUGGUCUGUAACUGACGCUGAGGCGCGAAAGCGUGGGGAGCAAACAGG